AAUCAACGCUGGCGGCGUGCCUAACACAUGCAAGUCGAGCGCGAAUUGGGGGGCAACUCCCAUAGUAGAGCGGCAAACGGGUGAGUAACGCGUGGGUGAUCUACCUUCGAGUGGGGAACAACAUCGGGAAACUGGUGCUAAUACCGCAUGACAUCCUCGGAUCAAAUCUGGGGAUCAAAGCUGGGGACCGCAAGGCCUGGCGCUUGAAGACGAGCCCGCGCCGAUUAGCUAGUUGGCGGGGUAAUGGCCCACCAAGGCUUCGAUCGGUAGCCGGCCUGAGAGGGCGGACGGCCACACUGGGACUGAGACACGGCCCAGACUCCUACGGGAGGCAGCAGUGGGG
rnacentral:rRNA from 1 species